rnacentral:rRNA from 1 species
GAUGAACGCUGGCGGCGUGCCUAAUACAUGCAAGUCGAGCGAACAGACGAGGAGCUUGCUCCUCUGACGUUAGCGGCGGACGGGUGAGUAACACGUGGAUAACCUACCUAUAAGACUGGGAUAACUUCGGGAAACCGGAGCUAAUACCGGAUAAUAUAUUGAACCGCAUGGUUCACUAGUGAAAGACGGUUUUGCUGUCACUUAUAGAUGGAUCCGCGCCGCAUUAGCUAGUUGGUAAGGUAACGGCUUACCAAGGCAACGAUGCGUAGCCGACCUGAGAGGGUGAUCGGCCACACUGGAACUGAGACACGGUCCAGACUCCUACGGGAGGCAGCAGUAGGGAAUCUUCCGCAAUGGGCGAAAGCGUGACGGAGCAACGCCGCGUGAGUGAUGAAGGUGUUCGGAUCGUAAAGCUCUGUUAUUAGGGAAGAACAAAUGUGUAAGUAACUAUGCACGUCUUGACGGUACCUAAUCAGAAAGCCACGGCUAACUACGUG